rnacentral:lncRNA from 1 species
GAGAAUCUGAAAUGUGGCCGAUGCAAACAAACAGUCUCAGAGUCCCACCACUGAUAUCUUCCCCACCCACCUUUUGAGUGUGAGUGCGCUUAGAAUGUUAACCAAGCCAACCAAGCAAUUCAAAUUCAAUUUGCCCUAUUAUGUGAGGCCCAUUGUUCCUGGCUAAAUUCUUCGGGGCUGAGUGGCAUUCAAAGAGAGCCAGGCCAAGAGUGCAAGCCAAGCUAAGUGCAAUACAAUAGACGGCCAGAUUAAAAAAUGUGCAAAAGACACCCGUGGAGGAUACAUAGGAG